rnacentral:rRNA from 1 species
GACGAACGCUGGCGGCGUGCUUAACACAUGCAAGUCGAACGGAAAGGCCCUGCUUUUGUGGGGUGCUCGAGUGGCGAACGGGUGAGUAACACGUGAGUAACCUGCCCUUGACUUUGUGAUAACUUCAGGAAACUGGGGCUAAUACCGGAUAGGAGCUCCUGCUGCAUGGUGGGGGUUGGAAAGUUUCGGCGGUUGGGGAUGGACUCGCGGCUUAUCAGCUUGUUGGUGGGGUAGUGGCUUACCAAGGCUUUGACGGGUAGCCGGCCUGAGAGGGUGACCGGCCACAUUGGGACUGAGAUACGGCCCAGACUCCUACGGGAGGCAGCAGUGGGGAAUAUUGCACAGUGGGCGGAAGCCUGAUGCAGCAACGCCGCGUGCGGGAUGACGGCCUUCGGGUUGUAAACCGCUUUCGCCUGUGACGAAGCGUGAGUGACGGUAAUGGGUAAAGAAGCACCGGCUAACUACGUG